rnacentral:rRNA from 1 species
UACGGAGGGUGCGAGCGUUGUCCGGAUUUAUUGGGUUUAAAGGGUGCGUAGGUGGUUUGGUAAGUCUGGUUUGAAAGCAGGCGGCUUAACCGUCUGAUGUGGCUGGAAACUGCCGAACUUGAAUGCGAUGGCGGUCGCCGGAACGGGUCAUGUAGCGGUGAAAUGCAUAGAUAUGACCCAGAACUCCGAUUGCGAAGGCAGGCGACCAGGUCGUGAUUGACACUGAGGCACGAGAGCAUGGGGAGCGAACAGG